rfam:Sorghum bicolor cultivar BTx623 chromosome 1, whole genome shotgun sequence.
UAGUUUCGUCCUAAGUCAAACUUCUCUAAUUUUGAUCAAUGUUAUACAAAAAUAUAUUAGCAUAUACAAUACUAAAUAAAAGCAUUAUCAAGACAUAUUUCAUGGUAGAUGUAAUGAAAUAAUUUGAUGUUUCAGAUGUUGGUGCAUUUUUCUAUAAACUUGGUCAAAGUUAGAGAAGUUUGACUUUAGAACAAAGCUAA